UCCCGACACCCUGUGUUUUUGAUCUUCCUUUCCUUCCUGUUUUUCUCCAUAGCACUUUUCACCAUUUAAAAUAUUUUACAAAUAUUUAUUUACUUGGUUCCUAUUUCCCCUUACUUAAAUAUUAGCUCCAUUGCUGGGAGAGGGAUUUUGUAUAUUUUAUUCACUGCUGUAUCUCCAGCUCCUAGAAAGAGCCCUGACAUGUAGUGGGUCUUCAACAAAUAUUGGUUGAGUGAAUCAAUGAAUGCAAAUCCUCAGAGGCCAGAGGGACAGAUAGUACCCAGUAGUGUGAACCUGGAGGGAGUGGCUUCUGCCUCAAAAGGGUGGAGAUAGAUGAGCUCCUUCCUGACAACCAUGCUCCAUGGAGGCUGCUAGUUCAGGAGAGAACACAAGACCCAGAGUCUGGAGAACUGUGUGCAAGUGGAAGCUCCAACGUCAAAUUCAUACGACAAAUGACUCGACCUCUUUCACAUUUCUCACCUGCAAAAUAGACACAGCCAUAGGGGGUCAGGUCUGCUCUUCCUGCUUCCCAAACCCACAGGCUCUGAGCCCCUCUGGCCCCUCCCCUCUCUCCCUGCAUUCUCACCCACAGCAGCCUGUCAUUGUUCUGCAAACAUUCCAAGUUCGUUUCUGCCCCAGAAUCUUGACCUUGCUGUUUCCCAUCUGCAUAGUUUCCCAGAGCAUCAGAGUUGGCUCCUUUCAUCAUUUAGGGCUCUGCUCAUGAAGGUGUCCUGCUUGGAGAGGUCUUGACCACCCUAUCUACAGAGGACCCAGCAAAAAGGUACCUUCUAUGAACCAGAAGACCAGCCCUCACCAGAUGCUGAAUCUUCUUUGAUCUUGGACUUCUCAGCCUCUGGAACUGUUGGUGCCUUUGAUACCCUGUUGUGGGGUGAAUUCACUUGCACUUCAGUGAGCAAGUCUAGAACCAUCUUCUUCCAAGUCUCAGCCCACGCCCCUUGCAGCUUUCCUUGUCUGUCAGUGUUCAGAUCACACAUUUGGCUCAGUCUCUCAGCUGUGGGGUAAUCAAACCCACCACACUACCUCGUGGAAUUUCCAGGAAGAUAAAAUCAGAAACGCCAUGGUACAGAAGACAAACUGAGGCUUGGUCACCCGGAGGAUCAGCAGCUGGAUUGUUUCCUGUAACAAAGUUCCUGCUAGAGAGUCCCUGAUCUCUGUGAUGCAGUAUUUCCCUAGUUUUUAUUUCUACUUCAAUGAGGCAUCUCAGUGUCAGUUUCCUUUGGGAAAAGAAAAUCACAUGUCCCCACAGCUUUGUGCCCAAUUGUGAAGGACAAUUCAGCGUUGAUCGUCUGUCUGGACUCUCGUGGGGUGGAGGCCAGUGGGGCUAGUACGAUGCUUAGCACACCUGGGCUGUCUAGCCUUAAGGAAACCAGAUCUGCCAGGGAGGCAGGAAAGCAAUGCAGAGAUUUUCUUCUGCCUUCCUCGGGGGACGGUCUUCCGGAGCAACAACGCACCAUGUAGCUACAGAAAACUUAUUACGUUCCAGGUGCUGGGAGCAGCAAGUUGCAGAUACUUAGAGCGGUAAGAUUUUAAGUUAGACAUAAGGAAGGACUUCCAGCUAUUGGUAUUGAUAUAGUAGGACCCAAGCUUUCUUCACAGCUUGCAGCGUCAGGGAAGGAUGAGAUCAUUCUUAAGAACAUUUUGAAUAAAGGC